rnacentral:rRNA from 1 species
GAUGAACGCUGGCGGCGUGCCUAACACAUGCAAGUCGAGCGAUUCUCUUCGGAGAAGAGCGGCGGACGGGUGAGUAACGCGUGGGUAACCUGCCCUGUACACACGGAUAACAUACCGAAAGGUAUGCUAAUACGAGAUAAUAUGCUUUUAUCGCAUGGUAGAAGUAUCAAAGCUCUGGCGGUACAGGAUGGACCCGCGUCUGAUUAGCUAGUUGGUAUGGUAACGGCUUACCAAGGCGACGAUCAGUAGCCGACCUGAGAGGGUGAUCGGCCACAUUGGAACUGAGACACGGUCCAAACUCCUACGGGAGGCAGCAGUGGGGAAUAUUGCACAAUGGGCGAAAGCCUGAUGCAGCAACGCCGCGUGAGCGAUGAAGGCCUUCGGGUCGUAAGCUCUGUCCUCAAGAAGAUAAUGACGGUACUUGAGGAGGAAGCCCCGGCUAACUACGUGCCAGCAGCCGCGGUAAGUCACGAGAGUA